UUGGUACUUGGAGAGUGGUUAUCCCUGUCCUGUUCGUUUUACUCAUGUCGAAUCGUACAGGGUCAUCCACUUUUUCAGUAUCAA
rnacentral:pre_miRNA from 10 species